ensembl:lncRNA
CCAGCGGCCUCUCGCGGGAGGAAGAAUCACCUGCCUUCAGCUCUUAACAGAACGCUGGGUGGAAACCGCAGGAACCGGCGAGCGCUCGAGGAACCCGAACGACACAGAACGCAAGGUUCGGGCCAAAGAGAUGAGAGGGUUUAAUAUGAUGUCGGCCCACCCUUUGUGCGCAUUUGUGAGGUCAGACGCUGAUGUUGGACGAGAAGGUCUGGCUCACAGUCUCCGCUCUAAUUCAUCCCAAAGGAGUUCUAUGGGGUUGAGGUCAGGACUCUGUGCAGGCCAGUCAAGUUCUUCCACACCAAACUGGUUCAUCCACGUCUUUAUGGACCUGCUUUGUGCACUGGUGGUCAGUCAUGUUGGAACAGGAAGGGGCCGUCCCCAAACUGUUCCCACAAAGUUGGGAGCGUGAAAUUGUCCAGAAUCUCUUGGAGCUGAAGCUUUAAGAGUUCCUAUCACUGGAACUAAGGGGCCGAGCCCAACUCCUGAAAAACACCCCACACCAUGAUCCCCCCUCCACCAAACUUUACACUCAGCACAAUGCAGUCAGACAAGUACCGUCUCCUGGCAACCGCCAAACCCAGACUCGUCCAUCGGAUUUCCAGACGGAGAAGCGUGAUUGGUCACUCCAGAGAACUCGUCUCCACUGCUCUAGAGUCCAGUGGCGGCGCUUUACUCCACUGCAUUCCACGCUUUGCAUCACGCUUGGAGAUGUAAGGCUUGGAUGCAGCUGCUCGGCCAUGGAAACCCAUUCCAUGAAGCUCUCUACGCUGUUCUUGAGCUGAUCUGAAGGCCACAUGAAGUUUGGAGGUCUGUAGUGAUUGACUCUGCAGAAAGUCGGUGACCUCUGCGCACUAUGCCCCUCAGCAUCCGCUGACCGCUCUGUCAUUUUACGUGGCCGACCACUUCGUGUCUGAGUUGCUGUCGUUCCCAAUCGCUUCCACUUUGUUAUAAUCCCACUGACAGUUGACUGUGGAAUAUUUAGUAGUGAGGAAAUUUCACGACUGGACUUGCUGCACAGGUGGCGUCCGAUCACGGUACCACGCUGGAAUUCACUGAGCUCCUGAGAGCGACCCAUUCUUUCACUAAUGUCUGUAGAAGCAGUCUGCAGGCCGAGGGGCUCGGCUUUAUACACCUGUGGUCAUGGAAGUGACUGGAACACCUGGAUUCAGUGAUUUGGAUGGGGGAGUGAAAACUUUUGGAAAUAUAGUGAAUCAGAAGUUGGUCUAAUACACACGGAUCAGGCAUAACAUUAUGAGCACCUCUUUGUUUCUACGCUCAUUGUCCACCACCACCACGUCAGUGUUACUGCAGUGCUGAGAAUGACCCACCACCCAAACAGUACCUGCUCUGUGAGGGUCCAUGGGGGUCCUGACCACUGAAGAACAGGGUAACAGAGUAUCAGAGAAACAGAUGGACUACAGUCUGUAACUGUAGAACUACAGAGUGCAGCUAUACGGUCAGUGGAGCUGAUAAAGUGGACAGUGAGCGUAGAAAUGAGGAGGUGGUCAGAAUGUUCUAUGACCACAUUACAACAUACAUCACUAAUACACAUAAUUACAGCAGAGCUACUGCACUGUUUUUGUGGUAAUAACCGUAAUAUUAUAAAAGCCUAUAAUGUAAAAGAACACUGAUAUGUUGAUUAAGCCUGUGUUGUCAGAGCUGGACACCAUUUAAUGUAAUAUACAAUAUAAAAAAUGUG